rnacentral:lncRNA from 1 species
UAAUUUAUAAUAAAUCUUAUAUAGUUUGGCUAGAGAAUUAAAAUAAAACUAGUAUUUCACCCGUGUGAUGCACGGAUAAUAUAAUAAUAUAAAAUAACAAAAAUUAUUAUGUGAUGAUAAAAAAAACAUUCUAAUUAAUAUUAUAUUUUUUUAACAAAUAAAGAAAUAUACUAUCAAUCUUAAGUAUAGUACAUAUUAAAGUACAAAAUGUAGAGAAAAAAAAUUAUGAACCAAAGUAAAUACUCCAGUAAAAAGCAAAAUUCAACCCUGUUCUAUUAUCUAUGAAUUGAUAUGCAAAACAAUUUACAUUUACAUAUUGAUGUGCAAAAUAAAAUGAUAACUAAAAUUGAUAUGAAAAAAAUUACAAAUGACAUUAAUAUUUAAGCAUAUAAUGAGAUCAAUUAAACUUUCAUAUUUGACACAAAUUAGAGUAAGCACCCGUAUACGAGAGACAUACAAACUUUUAAGAUUCAAAAAUAUAUAGAUGUUAGUCUUCAAAAAAAUAUAAAGAAAAAAAACUUUGUUGCAUGAAGUUGGAAAGUACUUGCUCCAAUAACAAUAUAGAUAAAUUGUUAGAUAAGUGAAAUGAUAAAUAUCAUAAUAUUAGUGAAUUUUUCAGAAAAAUAUCUAAAUUUAUUUUAAAAAUAAAAUGACAGAGUUGAAUUGUUGAAAAAUUGUAAAUUUUGAAAUAACAUGAAGAAAAAUAAACCGUUCACCUAUUUUAAGUUCUGAAACACUUCUUUAAAAACUACAUUACUUGUGGUUUUGGAUAACAAAUCAUCUUUAUCAUAAAUUAGAAUAUUCAAUCCGUCCUUACUUCGAACUCUAGAUAUUGCAACAUAUAACUGACCAUGACUGAAUAUCGGUCUAGGUAGAUACAAGCCAACAUGUGAUAACGAUUGACUUUGACUCUUGUUUAUUGUCAUAGCAUGCAUAUUGUAGGUUGUUGUUAGAAAAACAUCACAUUAAAUCAUACACGUCAAGUGCAGAAGUAAAAAUUCUCACCUUAGUCCAACACAAGUUACCAUUCUCUUACAAAAUUCACAAUAGAAUCCAGUUUCAUUAGGAAUCACCUUUUUGCUACACUUUUUACAAGAAUUGUAGUACCAGCGACGCUCAGUCUCAACACUUAGAAUA